GCCAACAUGGUGUAGUGGUUCAAAUGUUGGGACUGUGACUCUGGAGACCAGGGUUCAAAUCCCUGUUCAAGCA